rnacentral:tRNA from 1 species
GUUUUUAUGGUGUAUCAAACACGCUACAUUUUCAUUGUAGAACUAAAGGAAAAUCCUUUUAAAAAUA